CAGCCGCCACGGUAAUACAGAGGGUGCGAGCGUUAAUCGGAUUUACUGGGCGUAAAGCGUGCGUAGGCGGCUUUUUAAGUCGGAUGUGAAAUCCCUGAGCUUAACUUAGGAAUUGCAUUCGAUACUGGGAAGCUAGAGUAUGGGAGAGGAUGGUAGAAUUCCAGGUGUAGCGGUGAAAUGCGUAGAGAUCUGGAGGAAUACCGAUGGCGAAGGCAGCCAUCUGGCCUAAUACUGACGCUGAGGUACGAAAGCAUGGGGAGCAAACAGGAUUAGAUACCCGUGUAGUCCCUGUCUCUUAUAU
rnacentral:rRNA from 1 species